UGACUGUGCAAAGGUAGCAUAAUCAUUAGUUUUUUAAUUAAAAGCUUGUAUGAAAGGCUGGACGAGGUAAAAUCUGUCUCUAUUUAAAUUAAAAUAGAAUUUAACUUUUAAGUUAAAAGGCUUAAAUAUUAUUAAAAGACGAGAAGACCCUAUAGAUCUUUAUAUUUUAUUAAGUAAAAUUAAUUUAGAAAUAUUUAUAUUUUAUUUAAUUAAAUUAUUUUAUUGGGGUAAUAGAAAGAUUUAAUUAAUUCUUUUUUAUAAUAAACAUUAAUUUAUGAAUGUUAAUGAUCCAGUUUUACUGAUUAUAAGAUUAAGUUACCUUAGGGAUAACAGCGUAAUUUUUUUAGAGAGUUCAUAUCGAUAAAAAAGUUUGCGACCUCGAUGUUGGAUUAAAGAUUAUUUUAGGUGUAGAAGCUUAAUAAUUUUGGUCUGUUCGACCAUUAAAUCUUU
rnacentral:rRNA from 1 species